rfam:Trichoderma virens Gv29-8 TRIVIscaffold_2, whole genome shotgun sequence.
GCCGUGAUCGUAUAACGGUUAGUACAACAGUUUGUGGAUCUUACGAGACACUGUAAAUCCAGGUUCGAUUCCUGGUCACGGCA